ACGAAAUAUGAUUGUUUACAUUAAAAUGCAAAAGUUGAUGAAAAAGUAUGAUAAGGUGAAAAAAGUGACAUUUUAUGUCUAGAAAGUCAGUUUUCAUCAAAAGUACAAUAACAAAAUUAGUUCCCAUUCAUCCUGUGUCCCCUAACACACUUGUGCUCUUUAUCCGCUCAAAACGCUAUACAGCGAACGAGAAGGCGCUAGGAGCAAGGAAAGUGGUUUUUCUAACAAAGUCAUAUAAUCAGUUGUCCGACCUACUCCAAUUUGAUUUUUUUCACAUAGUUAGACAUAAUUUAGUACUAUGAAAUGUUUCUGACCCAAAAUAUUACGAAAUAUGAUUGUUUACAUUAAAAUGCAAAAGUUGAUGAAAAAGUAUGAUAAGGUGAAAAAAGUGACAUUUUAUGUCUAGAAAGUCAGUUUUCACCAAAAGUACAAUAACAAAAUUAGUUCCCAUUCAUCCUGUGUC
ensembl:lncRNA